GUGGGGAAUAUUGGACAAUGGGCGAAAGCCUGAUCCAGCCAUGCCGCGUGUGUGAAGAAGGUCUUCGGAUUGUAAAGCACUUUAAGUUGGGAGGAAGGGCCGUUACCUAAUACGUGAUGGUUUUGACGUUACCGACAGAAUAAGCACCGGCUAACUCUGUGCCAGCAGCCGCGGUAAUACAGAGGGUGCAAGCGUUAAUCGGAAUUACUGGGCGUAAAGCGCGCGUAGGUGGUUCGUUAAGUUGGAUGUGAAAUCCCCGGGCUCAACCUGGGAACUGCAUUCAAAACUGUCGAGCUAGAGUAUGGUAGAGGGUGGUGGAAUUUCCUGUGUAGCGGUGAAAUGCGUAGAUAUAGGAAGGAACACCAGUGGCGAAGGCGACCACCUGGACUGAUACUGACACUGAGGUGCGAAAGCGUGGGGAGCAAACAGGAUUAGAUACCCUUGUAGUCC
rnacentral:rRNA from 1 species